GCAGGUCCUUUUCUGAAUGACUCUCAACUACAGCCGUACACCUCAACUCCGUCCACCUCACAGGAUAAGCAGAGGCAUGCCAAGACACUUCAGCUCUCCCUAGACCCAUAUACUAAAUACACUGAGUAACUCUGGUCUAUCACACUUUUCACACUCUAGUAGCUAGCCAUCGGAGCAGAAGAUUCUCUUUAGAUUCUCCAUUUAAGCAGAGGGACAGCCGAAGCCUGAUUUUCUGUCCGUCCUACACCCGAGGUUCCUAAAGCCAAAGCAUACUUGGCUCUUCUCCACAUUAUUGACGUCUGCCCCAGCCUAGGGCUCAGUGAUCGACAUCUGUAUGAUGACCAUGAGGGUGUGUGCGGUGCUCUAUGCCCUCAUGUUACUGCUGUCACGGACUCUAUCCAAAACACACGUUGCGUAUCCACAGCGCUCCAUGGAGAUAAGUUGUUGUGUGUCUUCUAUUUUUCCUCCCCCGAAAAUAUUUGUGACACUCAGAUCCAGACAUCUAUGCCUCGUGGUACACAGGACGAGGGAUCCGACCAUUAGGACGUUUUGGGCGACGGACGAACGGGAGAAUCCAAAGGCUG